UUAAGCGACUAAGCGUACACGGUGGAUGCCCUGGCAGUCAGAGGCGAUGAAGGACGUGCUAAUCUGCGAUAAGCGUCGGUAAGGUGAUAUGAACCGUUAUAACCGGCGAUUUCCGAAUGGGGAAACCCAGUGUGUUUCGACACACUAUCAUUAACUGAAUCCAUAGGUUAAUGAGGCGAACCGGGGGAACUGAAACAUCUAAGUACCCCGAGGAAAAGAAAUCAACCGAGAUUCCCCCAGUAGCGGCGAGCGAACGGGGAGCAGCCCAGAGCCUGAAUCAGUGUGUGUGUUAGUGGAAGCGUCUGGAAAGGCGCGCGAUACAGGGUGACAGCCCCGUACACAAAAAUGCACAUGCUGUGAGCUCGAUGAGUAGGGCGGGACACGUGGUAUCCUGUCUGAAUAUGGGGGGACCAUCCUCCAAGGCUAAAUACUCCUGACUGACCGAUAGUGAACCAGUACCGUGAGGGAAAGGCGAAAAGAACCCCGGCGAGGGGAGUGAAAAAGAACCUGAAACCGUGUACGUACAAGCAGUGGGAGCACGCUUAGGCGUGUGACUGCGUACCUUUUGUAUAAUGGGUCAGCGACUUAUAUUCUGUAGCAAGGUUAACCGAAUAGGGGAGCCGAAGGGAAACCGAGUCUUAACUGGGCGUUAAGUUGCAGGGUAUAGACCCGAAACCCGGUGAUCUAGCCAUGGGCAGGUUGAAGGUUGGGUAACACUAACUGGAGGACCGAACCGACUAAUGUUGAAAAAUUAGCGGAUGACUUGUGGCUGGGGGUGAAAGGCCAAUCAAACCGGGAGAUAGCUGGUUCUCCCCGAAAGCUAUUUAGGUAGCGCCUCGUGAAUUCAUCUCCGGGGGUAGAGCACUGUUUCGGCAAGGGGGUCAUCCCGACUUACCAACCCGAUGCAAACUGCGAAUACCGGAGAAUGUUAUCACGGGAGACACACGGCGGGUGCUAACGUCCGUCGUGAAGAGGGAAACAACCCAGACCGCCAGCUAAGGUCCCAAAGUCAUGGUUAAGUGGGAAACGAUGUGGGAAGGCCCAGACAGCCAGGAUGUUGGCUUAGAAGCAGCCAUCAUUUAAAGAAAGCGUAAUAGCUCACUGGUCGAGUCGGCCUGCGCGGAAGAUGUAACGGGGCUAAACCAUGCACCGAAGCUGCGGCAGCGACGCUUAUGCGUUGUUGGGUAGGGGAGCGUUCUGUAAGCCUGCGAAGGUGUGCUGUGAGGCAUGCUGGAGGUAUCAGAAGUGCGAAUGCUGACAUAAGUAACGAUAAAGCGGGUGAAAAGCCCGCUCGCCGGAAGACCAAGGGUUCCUGUCCAACGUUAAUCGGGGCAGGGUGAGUCGACCCCUAAGGCGAGGCCGAAAGGCGUAGUCGAUGGGAAACAGGUUAAUAUUCCUGUACUUGGUGUUACUGCGAAGGGGGGACGGAGAAGGCUAUGUUGGCCGGGCGACGGUUGUCCCGGUUUAAGCGUGUAGGCUGGUUUUCCAGGCAAAUCCGGAAAAUCAAGGCUGAGGCGUGAUGACGAGGCACUACGGUGCUGAAGCAACAAAUGCCCUGCUUCCAGGAAAAGCCUCUAAGCAUCAGGUAACAUCAAAUCGUACCCCAAACCGACACAGGUGGUCAGGUAGAGAAUACCAAGGCGCUUGAGAGAACUCGGGUGAAGGAACUAGGCAAAAUGGUGCCGUAACUUCGGGAGAAGGCACGCUGAUAUGUAGGUGAGGUCCCUCGCGGAUGGAGCUGAAAUCAGUCGAAGAUACCAGCUGGCUGCAACUGUUUAUUAAAAACACAGCACUGUGCAAACACGAAAGUGGACGUAUACGGUGUGACGCCUGCCCGGUGCCGGAAGGUUAAUUGAUGGGGUUAGCCGCAAGGCGAAGCUCUUGAUCGAAGCCCCGGUAAACGGCGGCCGUAACUAUAACGGUCCUAAGGUAGCGAAAUUCCUUGUCGGGUAAGUUCCGACCUGCACGAAUGGCGUAAUGAUGGCCAGGCUGUCUCCACCCGAGACUCAGUGAAAUUGAACUCGCUGUGAAGAUGCAGUGUACCCGCGGCAAGACGGAAAGACCCCGUGAACCUUUACUAUAGCUUGACACUGAACAUUGAGCCUUGAUGUGUAGGAUAGGUGGGAGGCUUAGAAGUGUGGACGCCAGUCUGCAUGGAGCCGACCUUGAAAUACCACCCUUUAAUGUUUGAUGUUCUAACGUUGACCCGUAAUCCGGGUUGCGGACAGUGUCUGGUGGGUAGUUUGACUGGGGCGGUCUCCUCCUAAAGAGUAACGGAGGAGCACGAAGGUUGGCUAAUCCUGGUCGGACAUCAGGAGGUUAGUGCAAUGGCAUAAGCCAGCUUGACUGCGAGCGUGACGGCGCGAGCAGGUGCGAAAGCAGGUCAUAGUGAUCCGGUGGUUCUGAAUGGAAGGGCCAUCGCUCAACGGAUAAAAGGUACUCCGGGGAUAACAGGCUGAUACCGCCCAAGAGUUCAUAUCGACGGCGGUGUUUGGCACCUCGAUGUCGGCUCAUCACAUCCUGGGGCUGAAGUAGGUCCCAAGGGUAUGGCUGUUCGCCAUUUAAAGUGGUACGCGAGCUGGGUUUAGAACGUCGUGAGACAGUUCGGUCCCUAUCUGCCGUGGGCGCUGGAGAACUGAGGGGGGCUGCUCCUAGUACGAGAGGACCGGAGUGGACGCAUCACUGGUGUUCGGGUUGUCAUGCCAAUGGCACUGCCCGGUAGCUAAAUGCGGAAGAGAUAAGUGCUGAAAGCAUCUAAGCACGAAACUUGCCCC
rnacentral:rRNA from 1 species